rnacentral:rRNA from 1 species
AGCGAACGCUGGCGGCAGGCCUAAUACAUGCAAGUCGAGCGGGUCCUUCGGGAUUAGCGGCGGACGGGUGAGUAACGCGUGGGAACGUGCCCUUUGGUACGGAACAACUGAGGGAAACUUCAGCUAAUACCGUAUGUGCCCUUCGGGGAAAGAUUAUCGCCAUUGGAGCGGCCCGCGUUGGAUUAGGUAGUUGGUGAGGUAAAGGCUCACCAAGCCUACGAUCCAUAGCUGGUCUGAGAGGAUGACCAGCCACACUGGGACUGAGACACGGCCCAGACUCCUACGGGAGGCAGCAGUAGGGAAUCUUGCGCAAUGGGCGAAAGCCUGACGCAGCCAUGCCGCGUGAAUGAUGAAGGUCUUAGGAUUGUAAAUUACUUCUACCGGGGACGAUAAUGACGGUACCCGGAGAAGAAGCCCCGGCUAACUUCGUGCCAGCAGCCGCGGUAAC